rnacentral:lncRNA from 1 species
UUGCUGUGUUUUUUUGUUAUUUUUCUAUUAUAUUGUUUCUAUUUUGUUGUUGUUUGGAUAUUGUGUAAUUAUUUUUUUAUUGUUAAUUUUGCUAUUAUUUUAGAGACAUUUUCUUGUUUCCUGUUUUAGUGUUAUUUAAGUAUAAAUACUUCUUUUAAUUUAUUUUCAAUUUGUUAGGAAAUAUUUAUUUUGAUGUUUUAAAUAUUUUUAAUUUAUUUGAUGUAUCAUAUUUUUUCAAAUUAUUUUUAUAUAAAAAU